AUUUAGUGUCUUGUUGGGUUUAAAAAUAAUAUUUAUUUAUAAAUGAAAAAUAAUUUCGGAUAGGAGAAAGUAGUUUUUAAUGAAAUGUGUGUGUAACUAUAGUUGAAAGUACUGUAAGGGAAAGAAAAAAUGGAAUAAAGUAUUAAAGAAAAAAUUAAGUUUUGUACCUUGUGUACAAGGGAGAAUCUAUAUGGUUAAAAUAAUAUUUUAAAAUCUCGAAAGAAAAAUAGUUAAUUUUAUAACAGAGUUUUUGUAGGAUAAAAAUUUUUAAUAUAAAGUUAAAGAUGAAAUGUUAAACGAGUUUUGUAAUAUCUAGUUUUUUAAAAAGAAAAUUAAAUUUGAUUUAUAUUAUUGCGGAAAAAAAUAUAAAUAUAAAAUAGAAAGGGUAAGCUUUUUAUUGGUAAAUGGAAUAGCAAGAAAUAUGAGUUUUAUAAAUGAUCUAAGCUUAAAAGUAGCUAAGUUUUUAAAGUGUUUUAAUUAAAUUAACAAAAGAAUAUAAAUUACUGCUUUUCUUAAAUAUUAAAAAUUUAUUAAAACCAGAGAAUAAUAAGAUAAAAUGAUUUUAUUAGUAGAAAAUUAAUUAUAAAAUAAAUAAAAGAUUGAUUAAGAAAUUUUUAAAAAAUAUUAAGGUAUAUUAAAGGAAUUCGGUAAAUUGUUUUCUUGCCUGUUUAUCAAAAACAUGUCUAUUUGAAGUUAUAAAAAGUCUAGCCUGCCCGCUGAUUAAAGUAUAAUAAUUUAAAGGCCGCGGUAUUAUGACCGUGCAAAGGUAGCAUAAUCAUUAGGUUUUUAAAUGAGAUCUUGUAUGAAAGGUUUGACAAAGGAAAAGCUGUCUUUGAAAUAAAUAUUAAAUUUUACUUUUAAGUGAAAAGGCUUAAAUAUUUUAGGGGGACGAUAAGACCCUAUAAAACUUUACAUUAUGGUUAUAUUAGGUUAAAUUUGUAAUAAUAAAAAUUUAGUAUAGUUAUUUGUUUUGUUGGGGAGACAUAAGUAAAAAUUAUACUAGCUGCUUAUAAAUUAAACAUUUAUUGAUGUGUAAGAAUUUAUAGAUCCUGUUAUAUAUAGAUUAAAAGAUUAAGUUACUUUAGGGAUAACAGUGUAAUUUUUUUUAAGAGUUCAUAUCGAAAAAAAAGUUUGCAACCUCGAUGUUGAAUUAAAAUAUCUUUAUAAUGUAGCUGUUAUAUUAGAGGGUCUG
rnacentral:rRNA from 1 species